UCCGAGUUGACCCCGGCAGUCUCCCAUGAGUCCCCACCCGAAGUGCUGGCAACAUGGAACGAGGGUUGCGCUCGUUGCGGGACUUAACCCAACAUCUCACGACACGAGCUGACGACAACCAUGCACCACCUGUGACCCGCCCCGAAGGACCCCACAUCUCUGCAGGUAAACGAGCCAUGUCAAGCCUUGGUAAGGUUCUUCGCGUUGCAUCGAAUUAAGCCGCAUGCUCCGCCGCUUGUGCGGGCCCCCGUCAAUUCCUUUGAGUUUUAGCCUUGCGGCCGUACUCCCCAGGCGGGGCGCUUAAUGCGUUAGCUGCGGCACGGAGAUCGUGGAAAGACCCCCACACCUAGCGCCCAACGUUUACAGCGUGGACUAC
rnacentral:misc_RNA from 1 species